rnacentral:rRNA from 1 species
AUGAGUAUCAUAAAAUCAAUCAUGGGUACUAGUGACAAGCCCAGCUCGGCUGAUUUUCACAACAUCAUGGCAAACACGGCUGGCUGCGGCGCCUGUAGUUCUCAGGACCCCAUGUCAAGCACCGCCGAGUACAAUCAUUCAGAGUUUGUUUUGCAUCCACCAACCCCUAUGAGCUACUCUCCUGCAGUGUCAAUUGUUUCCAGCAAGAUUGGUCCCCAACUCUGCAAUGUCAGCUGUGAUGACCCAUCAGCUGGUUGGCGCCUAAUCAGUGUGGCGGAGCACCCAAGGACCGACUCUGAUGUAACUCUCAGCUACAUAGAACAGAUGUUGAUGCAGGACACUGAUGACAAGGUCAGAGCAGCUCAUGGCGAGACUGCCAUCAAAACCGUGGAGGAGACCUUCUAUGAAGUUCUUGGACAAAAGUAUCCAGUUUUGCCUGACAUAUUACCACCUUGUGGCUGUGAUCGCCUCAAGAACCUAAAUGGCAAUGUCAGCAGGCCUAAUGGAAAGUUAUGCAGUAAUUGCUCUUUAUAUAUCAGCUCAGAUGAUUAUCACCCCAAUGAAAACUCACAAGCAUCUCAGGCUCCAUGGACUUUAUCCGCCAUUGUUGGAGAGGCAAAAAAAAUCCCUUUGGGUGCCGAAAAAAUAGAAAUUGGUUUGAACAUCAAUAGCCUGUCUAUUGCAAAAAAACCUAGCCGAGAUAAUCAUUCACCUCAUAUGAAUGAGAAAGAGACAAUCAAGGAUGCAUCAUUUGAAGUUCGAGGCCGAAAAGUUUUCCUAGAUAAAGAAAAUCUUGAUUUGUUAGAAGGACGGAGAAACAAGCAAACUGCUAUUUUUUCUGAUGAGCCGAUCCGAAAUGAGGCAUUUGACAGGGUUCUACUUUGCUCUGAGCUUAAACCCGUACAUGAAGAUAUUAUUUUUCAGCGAGCUAUGGCAGAUACAUCCACCAAGUAUGCAAUGAAGGACCAAGGAAGAAAACUUGAUAGGCAAACGACCAGAGGAAAAACACGAAAGAAGCAAGAGGUGGUGGAUCUCAGAACUCUCCUUAUCCAUUGUGCAGAAGCAGUAUUUAGGAACAACCAUAGCCUAGCAAGUGAAAUACUUAAAAGCAUAAGACAACAUUCUUCACCAAGUGGGGAUGAUACCCAGAGGCUAGCAUUUUACCUAGCAGAUUGCCUAGAGAUAAGAUUGUCUGGAAAUGGGAGUCAGAUAAACCAGAACUUCAUCGCUAUACCUAGGAAUGCAGAAUAUAUUCUAAAGCUCUUCCAUCUUGGUUUGACAGUAUCUCCCUACUUGAGAUCAUCAUAUUACUUCUCAAACAAAACUAUCCUUGAUGUCACAAAGGGAAAACCACAAGUGCACAUUAUUGAUUUUGGCAUUUGCUUUGGUUUUCAAUGGCCAUCAUUAUUGAAACAAUUUGCAGAUAGAGAAGGUGGGCCGCCUAAGCUUCGAAUUACAGGCAUAGAGCUACCCACGCCAGGUUUCCGGCCAGAUGAAAUGAAUAACAACACACGGCUACGAUUAAUUGAAUAUGCUAACAUGUUCAAAGUACCUUUUGAAUACCGGCAGAUCUCAUCAAAAUGGGAAUCCAUCACCAUCAAAGAUUUUAACAUUGACAAAGAUGAAUUGCUUGUAGUCAACUGCAUACACCGAAUGAAGAAUCUUGGUGAUGAGACAACAUCCAUCAAUAGCGCCAGGAAUAGGGUGCUCAAUAACAUAAGGAUGAUGAAGCCAAACAUCUUCAUCCAUGGAGUUGUUAAUGGAUCUUACAACACCCCCUUCUUUUUAUCACGGUUUAAAGAAGUCAUGUACCGCUAUACUUCACUGUUUGAUAUGCUUGAUAAAACGACUCCACGAGAUAACGAGACAAGAUUGAUCCUAGAGAGGGAUAUAUAUAAAUAUGAAAUUCUCAAUGCCAUUGCAUGUGAAGGAUCGGAAAGGAUUGAGAGGCCCGAGAGUUACAAGAUAUGGAAGGUAAGAGGCCUCAGGGCCAGGUUUGAGCAGCUUCCACUGAAUCCAACCAUUGUUAAUGGAAUACAACAUAUUGUGAGACAGAUUUAUCACAAAGAGGUUUUUGUGGACGAAGAAGACCAAUUCCUAGUGUUGGGAUGGAAGGGAAGGAUACUCUACGCAUUAUCCACAUGGAAACCAAGUGAGAUUGACAAUGAAGGCACUGAUGAUAUUUGA